UUACAGCCAUAUCAAGUUGAAACAACAGUUCUCAUAUGAUCACUGGAGUUAAGUAAUGUCAUGCAUGGUCAGUACCUAGAUGGGUGACUGCUUAGGAAUACCAGGUGCUGUAAG
rnacentral:rRNA from 1 species